UACGUAGGGGGCUAGCGUUGUCCGGAAUCAUUGGGCGUAAAGCGCGCGUAGGCGGCCCUGUUAGUCCGCUGUAAAAGUCAAAGGCUCAACCUUUGAAUGCCGGUGGAUACUGCAGGGCUAGAGUACGGAAGAGGCGAGUGGAAUUCCUGGUGUAGCGGUGAAAUUCGUAGAUAUUCGGCGGAACACCGAGUGGCGAAGGCGAACUCACUGGCCCGAUACUGACGCUGACGGCGCGAAAGCGUGGGGAGCAA
rnacentral:rRNA from 1 species